rnacentral:rRNA from 1 species
UACGUAGGGUGCAAGCGUUAAUCGGAAUUACUGGGCGUAAAGCGUGCGCAGGCGGUCAUGCAAGACAGAUGUGAAAUCCCCGGGCUCAACCUGGGAACUGCAUUUGUGACUGCAUAGCUAGAGUGCGGCAGAGGGAGAUGGAAUUCCGCGUGUAGCAGUGAAAUGCGUAGAUAUGCGGAGGAACACCGAUGGCGAAGGCAAUCUCCUGGGCCUGCACUGACGCUCAUGCACGAAAGCGUGGGGAGCAAACAGG